GUUCGACCUGAGCUCGGACAAGGCUACCCCGGUGAACUUAAGCAUAUCACUAAGCGGAGGAAAAAGAAACAAA
rnacentral:rRNA from 1 species